rnacentral:rRNA from 1 species
GAUGAACGCGGCGGCGUGCUUAACACAUGCAAGUCGAGCGAGAAGUUUUGAAAAGAUUCUUCGGAUGAAAUUUAAAAUGGAAAGCGGCGGACGGGUGAGUAACGCGUAGGCAACCUGCCCCAUACAAAGGGAUAGCAUUUGGAAACGAAUAUUAAUACCUUAUGAAACUUAACUAGUGCAUGCUAGGUAGGUCAAAGAUUUAUCGGUAUGGGAUGGGCCUGCGUCUGAUUAGCUAGUUGGUGAGGUAACGGCUCACCAAGGCGACGAUCAGUAGCCGACCUGAGAGGGUGAACGGCCACAUUGGAACUGAGACACGGUCCAAACUCCUACGGGAGGCAGCAGUGGGGAAUAUUGCACAAUGGGGGAAACCCUGAUGCAGCAACGCCGCGUGAACGAUGAAGGCCUUUGGGUCGUAAAGUUCUGUUCUAGGUGAUGAAAACUGACAGUAACCUAGGAGAAAGCCC